CGGCCUAUUGUUACCUUUAAAAAUAUUAAAAGUCAACUAAAAACUAUCUAGAGCUCAUAAGGAUCUACUGAAGCAACACUAAGGCUACUAUGAGUAGGACACCUGUUUAUUGUUUACUAAGUCAGUGGUCCUCACCUGGGACAGACUGGGCCUGUCGUUAUUACAUUAUUUAAAGCAGGUGAGCUACCACACCAUCCCAGCUAUCAGAAUUUUAUGAUUCAUGAAUUCCAACAAUCACAAUAAAAAUAAAGCUGCAUUAUUUCCAACCAUCCCCCAUGCUCCUCACACAGGGCACCAAGUUUUCACAUAGCCAGAGAUGGUGUGGAUGUUGGCAUAUUUUGCUACUUGCUGUACAUGCCCAGUUUCUUAAUGAAUGCGGUCACUGGGAAACCAACCCCACUCCUUUUUCUAAUGACAAAGUACAAGAAUCAGUAAAAAAAAUAAGUAAAGCUUAGGGAUUGGGGGAAAAACUGUUUAUUAUCUAGCUCUUGUCUAUCUCGUAUGUUUAUGGUUCAAGGAUGUGCUAUUUAUUAACUGCCUCCCUCAAGUUAUAAAUCUUACACUCACACAAAGGCAUAGGGGUACAUUAGCUUCAAACUAUCUCCUAUAUCCAUUGAUCUAAACAGACAUGGGGAAAAUCAAAUUAACUCAAACCUCUUAUCUAAAUCAAAGUCUGCCAAGUCUGAAGGGGGAAAAAAAUUGUUUUGGGGGGAUGUGAAAAAAAAAAUAGCAAGAAAGAUGCUGUCUUUCUAGAAGCAACCCAAACCCAAAUCCCUGGACAAUUCUCUGGCUAUCUUUUCCUUAGGUAGUGGGAGUUAAGGAGACAGUCCUGACAGGAGCCUGCAUAACACAAAUCAAGAAAUUAUCCUCACAGCCAAGGCUGGUGACACCAUUCCUUAACCUGGCGGAGGGGAGCUUUUCAAGGCUUAUGAACCAGGAUCAUAUUAUUCCAUGUCUCUGAAGCUUGGGUCGGUCCCUCUGUCCUUUUCUCGUGCUAGUUUCUCUGUGAUUACGCAUUAAAAUGUAGAGCCAGUCAUCUCUGGCUCCUAGAGACUCCCAGGUUGAUGAAUGCACACCCGUCCUGGAAUUUCGCCUGAAGACCAGUAACGGGACUCGGUGUGCCCGGGCCUGUUCGGGGCACGCAGCGCAAGACCCGGCUCCGCAGGGUGGGAAGAUGCCCGAGCCCAGGGAGACCCGACCGAGACGCCCCCUCUCCUGCCCAGCGCGCCCCCUUCCGUCCCCAGCAAGAGAGCAAAGGUCCCAAGCCUCAAUCCGGGCUCAAGCGACCAAACCCCUUUCUAGAGUCUGGACCACUCACCAUUCGGGACAGAGCUGCCCCCAAAAGUUAAAAUGAGACAAACGGGCGGGAAGCCCCCAGCCCCGGGGCGGGGCCGGCCUAGAGCCCUGCGCUCCAGCUUUGGGAGCUCACCCAGGCCCGGGGAGGGCCAGCCUGGCUGCUCACGGGACCCUCCCUUGUUGGCCCGGCCGUGGCCGGGAACCCACGCGUGGCCGGUGCGCGCUGCCAGUGCUGCAGCUGAGGUUCGGGUUCGGCCCGCGCCCGGCGUGAACAAAGCGGCUGCCAAGGCCUGGGACUGAGGGGACUGAGCCGCCGGCUCCACGCCGCCCCCAGGCCCAGAAGAAACACCGACUGCGGGCCGGGCACAGCACCCGGCCGGGGAAAGGACGCCCCGAGUUACGCGCAAACUUCCUUUGAAUGGCGCCCAGCCUCAGGGCCGAUUCCCCGCGCCUAC
rnacentral:lncRNA from 1 species